GCUGUUCCACUCUGGAGACACCCAAUCUCGGCUGAUCUCGGCGGCUAAGCAGGGUCAGGCCCGGUUAAUACUUGGACAGCAGAAAUCAGCCAAGCU
rnacentral:rRNA from 1 species